rnacentral:rRNA from 1 species
AGCGAACGCUGGCGGCAGGCCUAACACAUGCAAGUCGAACGGACCCUUCGGGGUUAGUGGCGGACGGGUGAGUAACACGUGGGAACGUGCCUUUAGGUUCGGAAUAGCUCCUGGAAACGGGUGGUAAUGCCGAAUGUGCCCUUCGGGGGAAAGAUUUAUCGCCUUUAGAGCGGCCCGCGUCUGAUUAGCUAGUUGGUGAGGUAAUGGCUCACCAAGGGGACGAUCAGUAGCUGGUCUGAGAGGAUGACCAGCCACAUUGGGACUGAGACACGGGCCAAACUCCUACGGGAGGCAGCAGUGGGGAAUCUUGCGCAAUGGGCGAAAGCCUGACGCAGCCAUGCCGCGUGGAUGAUGAAGGUCUUAGGAUUGUAAAAUCCUUUCACCGGUGAAGAUAAUGACUGUAGCCGGAGAAGAAGCCCCGGCUAACUUCGUGCCAGCCGCCGCAGUAA